AUGGAACUCUUAACAUUCAGGGAUGUGGCCACAGAAUUCUCUCCAGAAGAGUGGAAAUGCCUGGACCCUGCCCAGCAGAAUUUAAAUAGCGAUGUGUUGUUGGAGAAUUACAGAGACCUGGCCUCCCUAGAUCUGGUCACCUGUCUGGAGCAAAGAAAAGAGACCUACAAUUUGAAGAUAGAUGAGACAGUAGCCAAACCCCAAAUUUAA
rnacentral:lncRNA from 1 species